AAAGAUAAUGUAAAUAUAAUAAAAAUUCACAUUUCAGAGCAGAGCCCCUUUCCCUUGAAUUCAUACACCGUUUUCCGCACAUCAGCCAUUAAUUUGUUGCAUAUGUGCCAAAAACCUUCCUACUCAGAGAGAGAGAUAUUUAAAAAACUGAAAAGGUGGAGUUGGGUUUGGACUAUAUAAGCUGAUGUUGGAGUUGAGAUUUUCCAAUGCUAUGGAUGUUGGGAAUUUUAUCAGUGUCAGCACCUUCCUCUCCAAUUCAUUAACCAGUUGCAAUUGUAGCGACUUCCCUUCUCCAUCACCAUAUUUGUCUUUCUCUCUCUUGUCUCUUUGGGCUCCCAAUUCAUCUCUCAAAAUGAUUUCUUCCAAUCCCUUAAAAAUUGAAUCUUUCCACCGUUUAAUCCCAAAGAUUUUGUCUUUAGCUAUUUAUCAAGGAGAGAGAGCUUGAUUCUUGAAUCUUAUGGAAGAAUAAACCAUCCCCUUUUUCUGAUCUUAGUAUCUUACCCAAAUUCAGCAGCCCUUUUUCCUUUUUUCUUGAAAAGUUGGGAGCUAUUUUUUUUGUCAGCACCAAUUUGUUUUUGCAAUUUAUUCUUUUCAUAUUUGAAGAAAAUGCUGUGCGCUUCAUUGAGUAAUCAGCAGAUGACAAAGAUGAUGACUGCAUCUUCCUUAGCUCUGCCUUGUAGCAGGUAUAAUUUUGGUGGAUGUUGGAUUGGUUGUGGUAAAGGGAAGAGUGCUGCUUCCACCAGCAAUGCUGCAGUCAAGAAGAUGAGGUUGAGCAUUUCACCUCUGGCUUCUUCUGCUGCCUUAGAUACCUCUCCCAAUUUGUCGAGACCCGAUUUCUAUAAGGAGGUGCUUGAAUCUGCUCGAGACAAGUUUACUAUGGAGAUAUCUUUCCAAUCUAAGGAUAAAGAUAUUUCACUUGCAAAGGCUUUGCUCUAUGUUGCCGCGGAAGAUGAGGCGUAUCUGGCUCUCAAUCGUGAGAUGGAUGCUCGUUCAAUCCACAAUGAGAGGAAAGAUACAUCGUCGCCACCUGAUGCCCAAGGGUGGGAUUCUGUGGAGUCCAUGCCAAUGGCUGGAAAGGAUAUAAACGGGUGGUUGGCGGAGCUGGACACCAUAGCAAACGAGGUUAAGGCCGAGUUGGUUCCAAGAGAGAUCGGAUGUGAUAUGGGAGAAGUGUUAGAUGCAGUGAACAAAGUCCUCUUCGAGUAUAGAGGUUUAAAGAGGUCACCUGUCUUAGUAGACUCGAAGUGCUCGUACCUGCACUCAGCAUUAAGCUCUGGUGGCGCCAGCGCAAUCUUGCUUAGUGUCGUCUACAUUGAAGUUUGCCAAAGACUCAAUCUUUCUAUUGUGGGAUCUCGUGUCGGGGAAGAUUUUUUGAUAUGGCCCCGAACUGGAAAUCCUGAGGAGUUGUUCAAAGUGAUCUCAGGGCACAGCUUGUUCGCGGUUGUCAACGGGAAGUGCGUGGACGAUCCACGGUCUAGGGCCUCAGAUGUGAAUAGCAACUCACUUUUGGGGCUAGACGUUGCAACCAACCGAGAUAUCAUUGGAAUCACUCUAGCCAAUUUAAUUCGGCUUUACUGGAAACGUGCUUCGAGAACGAAUCACGGGUUGAUGCUGACUUCUCCGCUCCGUUGUGUCCACAACUCUGAGGAGAAGCUCAACAAGAGCAUGCCUCUACUGCGCCCUCAGGAGCUGAGGUUUUGAGAUGCUUAUUUGCAAGCAUGGCCGGAACUUGUGAAUCCCGACUAAUCUAAACUAAGCCAGGAAGGCUUACUCGAAAAUAUAACCCUAGCUAGUUCGGAAUUACAUACGAUGAGUUGCAUCGUUGGAGUCCUAAUCUUUAAGCUGUUUAUCGUAGAAUUCGAAAUAUUUAAUAGGCUAAAAUUUGAAAUAUCUGAUCUAAGAACUAGGGAAAAAAGUAGGGAAGAAAAGGGAAGAAAUCUUUAGAAAUGAAGCAGAAAAACUGGACAAGUUUAUGGUCGUGUAACUCGGUUAUUAGAUAACACGUUUAUUUGCAGGCUCGCGAUCAUGGCUUCGGAGAGGUUACUGAUCCUUCAGCCGCACAAUUGGGCUAUGAGAAGAGACUAUGGCAUGAUGCUCUACUACAGCCGAGAAUAUGAGGCCGCGGUUCAAGAGCUCAGCAUCUGCAUGGCCUUUGCACCGGAAG